rnacentral:lncRNA from 1 species
CUGGGGUUCCUGGUUUUGAGGCAGAACAAGUGUAUCAGGAUGAGGCACUCCCUAGAGUAGAACUGGAUUGAAUGAAGGCUGUCAGCAUGUCAGGAUGCUUCACCGUGUGCUCCAUAAGCUACUCAUCUGAUGUUUCAUAGGAAGCAGAAGAAAUUCCCAGCAAAGUGACCUGUGUUGCAAGACUCAAAAGAGGGAGAGAGAGAGUUGGCUCAGCUGGUGAAGAGCUUGAUGGACAUGAAGACCUGAGCUUGGAUCUCCCAACAUCUUUGUGAAAGGACGGGCACAGCCCCUGAAUCUCCAGAGCUGUGACAAUGGAAGCAAUGGCUCCUCAGAGCUUGCUGGCCAGCCAACCUGCUUGAGUUCAGCUCUAGAUUCUCUGUGACCCUGACUCAAAAACUAAGGCGUGGAGUGACUGAAGAAGAGAUCUGAUGUCAACCACUUGUUCUUAUUUACACACACACACACACACACACACACACACACACACACUCUUAAAUAAAAAUUAAAUUAUUUGUUGAAAAUGACAAAAAGAUGGACACCAUACAGUUAGAAGUGGCAGCUACCAAGGGACUUGUCUUGUGGUGCUCUUUUAUCAACAGUUUCUGAUUCCUUUGACAUAGCAAGUGGCAGUCCUGGGAGCCGGUUUCCAGUCACAAAUCCCAGUUCCCUUUCUCCCCGUUUUGUUCAGGUUCUGCCACUGUCUUGAGUAUGCUCUUUUGUGCUUACUAAAGCUGUGCUGUGUGGGAGAGUCAUCUGUUUGUUCCUUGUUCUUCAGUGGGCUGAGUGAUGGACCCCUCCCUCUUUACAGAUAAUAGAUCUGUGAGAAAUCUCACACCACUGGGACCUUAUUUGGG